rnacentral:rRNA from 1 species
CAGCAGUGAGGAAUAUUGGGCAAUGGAGGAAAGUCUGAUCCAGCCAUGCCGCGUGCAGGAAGACGGCCCUACUGGGUUGUAAACUGCUUUUAUUUGGGAAGAAACCUCCGGACGUGUACCGCAGCUGACGGUACCAAACGAAUAAGCACCGGCUAACUCCGUGCCAGCAGCCGCGGUAAUACGGAGGGUGCAAGCGCUUAUCCGGAAUUAUUGGGUUUAAAGGGUCCGUAGGCGGACCUUUAAGUCAGUGGUGAAAUCCUUCGGCUCAACCGGAGAACUGCCAUUGAAACUGAAGUGUCUUGAAUAUAGUUGAAGUGGGCGGAAUAUGGCAUGUAGCGGUGAAAUGCUUAGAUAUGCCAUAGAACACCGAUAGCGAAGGCAGCUCACUAAGUCUAUUAUUGACGCUAAGGGACGAAAGCGUGGGGAGCGAACAGGAUUAGAUACCCUGGUAGUCCACGCCGUAAACGAUGAUCACUCGAUAUUGGCGAUAAACAGUCAGUGUCUAAGACGAAAUUGAUAAGUGAUCCACCUGGGGAGUACGAUCGCAAGGUUGAAACUCAAAUGAAUUGA